UUGGGAAUUCUCCCUUAUAUAUGGUAGUAAUGUGGCUCCACAAGCCACUAAAAGGUGAAUACACUCAAAAAUUUCAUUCCAGAAUUUGGUACCUGUUACCCUAACAUAACCAUCAACCUUUCUUCAAGAAUUUCUGAAGACAUCUCCUUUUUAUUCACUAAUUUGGGAGGCAAAACGUGGGCAGCAACCAUCUCCUUGGAGAACCCAUUUUGAAGGGGUUUUUCUUAGCUUUGACGUUAAAUUUUGAAGCUCAAGCCAAGCACUUAUGUUGGAAAUGGUUCCAGAUUUCAACAAGAAUUGGAAGAGCUCUAGAGUGCAAGUGAAGGUUGUUCUCCGCCUACUGAGGUCUAGACGCUAGUCAAGCUAGGGGAUAGGAUUGACGCAGAGCAUAACGAGGUAGACAGGGAGGUGAUCUUGCUCCGGAUUCUUAAAGGCCGUUAGCUGACUGAAAGCACUCCAUUGUCCCGGAGGUGCCUACGAUGAUUAUUUUGUGUACAAUUGUAGAUAUCGUCUCUUAGAGGCUCGUAAAUACUCAAUGUGGGUCAUGUGGUUUCACGACGCGGAUUUUGUGUAAAUGUAUCUUUAUAUGUUGUUUUAUAAAAGCAUU